CAAGAUACAAAGUGCUGCCUUAGCUCUGGCAAGAAGAAAGAAGGGGAAUACGUGGUCAGCCUAUUUGAAAAAGCUUUUCUGGAAGUGCUGUCCGUUGAAAGCUCUAAUUUUCCCAGCUGGAUGAAUUCACCAAGUUGAGAAUCUAAGAGGCCUUAACGUUAGCAGAAUCUACAAAGCGCCAGAGGGGCACGAAAGCUGCGCUGGAAACAUUCGCUCUCCAGGCCUGGUGGUGUGGUUGCCACAGCUACCAAAGCUGCUGCUUUCUCUGCUUUGUGUUCACGUGGGAAGAGAAGCUUUCAAGAUGAGGCUAAGGAGAGGACUUUUACAUCCACAAUCACAAAGCCAGUAAAAGAGACAUAGUGGUCUUUCUAACAAAGACACAGGUCUUUCUAAUCCCAAAACCCAUAUUCUUUUCACCAACUUGGGGAGACACACCCUGCCAAGAUGACUUCAAAUUUGGAGAGAUGAACAACGGCUUCCGUGAAUCACCUUUUCUGGUUUCAGUUGUUGGCACCAUUACCAGCUCUUCUCAGUGACUCUAGCAUCCAUACCAUGCUCUCUACUGGUCACACACAUCCCUGGAGUUUUUUUUUAGAAUCUGCAGCUCACGCCUUCAGGAUUGCUUUGAAGAGAAAAGUAUGAAUGGAGAA